UACGAAGGGGGCUAGCGUUGCUCGGAAUCACCGGGCGUAAAGCGCACGUAGGCGGAUUGUUAAGUCAGGGGUGAAAUCCUGGAGCUCAACUCCAGAACUGCCUUUGAUACUGACGAUCUCGAGUCCGGGAGAGGUGAGUGGAACUGCGAGUGUAGAGGUGAAAUUCGUAGAUAUUCGCAAGAACACCAGUGGCGAAGGCGGCUCACUGGCCCGGUACUGACGCUGAGGUGCGAAAGCGUGGGGAGCAAACAGG
rnacentral:rRNA from 1 species